GAUUUCGUGGUGUAGUAGGCUAUCACAUUCGCCUCACACGCGAAAGGUCUCCGGUUCGAGCCCGGGCGAAAUCA